rnacentral:misc_RNA from 1 species
GUAAUAAACAGGAGGGUAAAAGGAGGUACAUAUAAGGGCUGCAAUUCCAGCAUAGUCAAGUCUAAGCAUAAUGUAUGACAAGCGUUCAGAAUGGCAGGAGAGAAGGUGGCAUGUGCUGCUAGCUAGCAAGCAAAACAUGGCCCCGCCGAGGAAAGCAAAAAAUGGCCAUCGUGUGAUUGGCCUCACCAUCAGGGGGGCUAUCAUGUUUGCCACAUCCUCCUUCACGCUAAGCAGAACACAGACAUCUGUGUGGUUGCCACUGAAGAAUCUCUCAGGCAAGCAAUU